rnacentral:rRNA from 1 species
GAUGAACGCUGGCGGCGUGCCUAAUACAUGCAAGUCGAGCGAACAGACGAGGAGCUUGCUCCUCUGACGUUAGCGGCGGACGGGUGAGUAACACGUGGAUAACCUACCUAUAAGACUGGGAUAACUUCGGGAAACCGGAGCUAAUACCGGAUAAUAUAUUGAACCGCAUGGUUCAAUAGUGAAAGACGGUUUUGCUGUCACUUAUAGAUGGAUCCGCGCCGCAUUAGCUAGUUGGUAAGGUAACGGCUUACCAAGGCAACGAUGCGUAGCCGACCUGAGAGGGUGAUCGGCCACACUGGAACUGAGACACGGUCCAGACUCCUACGGGAGGCAGCAGUAGGGAAUCUUCCGCAAUGGGCGAAAGCCUGACGGAGCAACGCCGCGUGAGUGAGGAAGGUCUUCGGAUCGUAAAACUCUGUUAUUGGGGAAGAACAAAUGUGUAAGUAACUAUGCACGUCUUGACGGUACCUAAUCAGAAAGCCACGGCUAACUACGUG